GCUGCGGGAGGCCCUCGACAGCGGAGCGGAGGUCCACCUCCAAAGCCAGCCUGCGCGGCUGCUGGCCGUCAUCUUGAAGGACUUCCUCCGCAAGAUCCCCUCCAAGCUCCUCGAGGCAGAGCUCUACGAGGAGUGGGUGAGCGCCCUGCAGAAGACCAGCAGGCAGGAGAAGCUGGCGGCACUGAAGGAGGUGGCCAGCAAGUUGCCCAGCGCCAACCUCCUCCUCCUCAAGAACUUGCUCAUCCUGCUCCGAAACAUCAGCAC